rnacentral:hammerhead_ribozyme from 1 species
ACCUAGAUGACGAGUCCCAAAUAAGACGAAACGCUCGUCCUGUAU